rnacentral:rRNA from 1 species
AACGUAGGUUCCGAGCGUUAUCCGGAUUUAAUGGGCGUAAAGCGUGUUCAGGCGGCUCAGCAAGUCGGGCAUGAAAUCUCUCGGCUCAACCGGGAGGGGCUGUCCGAAACUGCUGGGCUUGAGGGCAGUAGAGGGUGGUGGAAUUCCGGGUGUAGUGGUGAAAUGCGUAGAUAUCCGGAGGAACACCAGUGGCGAAAGCGGCCACCUGGACUGUACCUGACGCUCAAACACGAAAGCUAGGGGAGCGAACGGG